UUAAUUACAUCUAGUCAUUGAACAGUGAAGGAAAUUAAUUUAAAAUAAUAAUCAUAAUAAAUUGAGAUCAUUACCCGGAGGAGAUAACUUUGUUUUCCGUCAUCAAAUGAUUCAAUUAAUUAUUAUUUUUUCCUCCUCUGUACACACACAUCAUAAUCAUUUCAUACUCCAAACUCUAAACAAAUUCUUCAAAGAUAAUGAAUAACUCAUUAAUAUAUGUGUGAAGUCAAUCAACAUAAUGGACCCCUCAAACUUCAACCACAGCCUCCAACAUGGCACAUGCCUUGAUGAGAGACUCCUUCUCAACAAUGGAAGCCCAAAAGAAGUCAACAGUGUUACAUCCACGUUUAUUUGACUAUCUUUCGAAGACACCCCACGCCAAGGGUUCAGAUUCGGGUAGCUAGGAGGCCACAUUUUCUUUACCCAAAACAUAAAGCAUGACAUCGGAUCUAUAAACAUCAAUUUAAGCUCUCUACCAUCAUUAUCUAUGAAGCUAUUUGCGUCCUUGGACGUGCGCCCGGCACGGAGGCGCACAAUAACGACUGCACAGAUUUCGUAAUUUGGAGGACAUCUCAAGGAUUAUACAGUUUUGCCUGUUAAGUAUGAUAAACAUACUUUCAUAAACCUAGUUUUCAGGCUUGGCAAGAUAUUGAGGUCUAAACUUGUUCCGGAUUUCAAAUCCUCACCCUGUAUAUGCAGCCCAAUAUUUUAGGCUUUGUAUUGAAUAAGUGGUAACUCGAAAAGGACGUCACAAUCAAGUUUCUAACAACUUCAUGUCCAAUCUACAUAUUGUAUUUAUAUAUACCGGGUGCGAUAUUGAAAUUUGAACACAAGGUUAUUUGCAAAUUGAGAGGUUCUUGUGAAUUUUUAAGAGACGAACAUAAAUAAAUUACCAAGAAAAUGGGGUCUGAACGUGACACUCGUGUGAAGAUCUGUGGGUUUCUAGAUGCUGGAAAUAAAAUCUGGAGGCUCACUUCCUCCCGUUGAUUUGGCUAACUUCCCGGAUAAUAAUAUGGUCCUGUAAGAAGACGGUGCUCCUCCCCACACUGCCAAUUCACUGCCGUAUUCACCCGACACCAACGCUUUGGACUACAUCUUCUGGUCGCGUGUAGAGUACAGGUCCUGUACCCUUAGGCACGAAAACACCAUGACCAUGAAAGGCACUGUUAACGAACACUGGACCGAUAUGUCCAAAGAAUACAUAAGAAACAUCUUCAAGAUACGUCUUGAGGCCAUUGUGAACACCAGAGGAGGCUACAUCGAAGGUUAGAGAAGACAAUAUAGCUUCACAGCUGGUCUCCAAAUAUUUUUUAUACAUGUUUAGUGACUACAAAAAUAUAUCUAGUUAAAGUUAAAAGUAUUGAUUGUUCAGAUUUCAACGUCCCACCCAGUAUGAGUGCAG
rnacentral:lncRNA from 1 species